CCUACGGGUGGCAGCAGUGGGGAAUAUUGGACAAUGGGCGAAAGCCUGAUCCAGCCAUGCCGCGUGUGUGAAGAAGGCCUUCGGGUUGUAAAGCACUUUCAGUGGGGAAGAAAGCCUUGGGGCUAAUACCCUCGAGGAAGGACAUCACCCACAGAAGAAGCACCGGCUAACUCCGUGCCAGCAGCCGCGGUAAUACGGAGGGUGCGAGCGUUAAUCGGAAUUACUGGGCGAAAGCGCGCGUAGGCGGUCUGAUAAGCCGGUUGUGAAAGCCCCGGGCUCAACCUGGGAACGGCAUCCGGAACUGUCAGGCUAGAGUGCAGGAGAGGAAGGUAGAAUUCCCGGUGUAGCGGUGAAAUGCGUAGAGAUCGGGAGGAAUACCAGUGGCGAAGGCGGCCUUCUGGACUGACACUGACGCUGAGGUGCGAAAGCGUGGGUAGCAAACAGGAUUAGAUACCCGGGUAGUC
rnacentral:rRNA from 1 species